CUCUUCCAUAAAUACAAAAUAAUAUGUUCAUAAUAUAAUUAUGCGUUUAUUUACCUGAAUGAAGAAAAGAGACGAGGAGAAUUUCAUGAACUAUUUAUGUUUUGAUAAAACUGAAGAUUUAUUUUUGAAUAGAAUUUCUAAAUGCUCCGUAAAUCUGUAGUAUUUAAUCAGAUUUCUGUUUCUGGAUGAAAAUCUGCCAGAUUGGGGCAGAUUAUCUUCUGUUACCAUGGUGAUGAACCCAGAGCCUGUUUCCAUAGUGACAGAGUCUGUUAGACUGGAGCAUCCGGGAACUUUGCCUCCUCUUCCUCCCGCUGCAGAAAGCCCUCCUCCUCUUCAUCACCAUCUUCCUCUUCCUCAGACCGCAGUCCGUCGCGGCUCCAGCUCAGGUUCGGUUCGGUUCUCUUCGUGUUUCCUGUCUGCUGAUUUUUGAAGCGUGAACGCGCCUCGGCUCGUGCAUGUGUCGGUAAAUCUGACAGACGAUGACGUGACGUCUGCGUGUCGGCGCUUUGAUGUUUGAUAGGCUGCUGUUUGGGCCGAACUCUGCGCUGGUUCCGGUCGGGUUCUCCAGAACCUAUCCCCCGCCCCCCUCCAGGAUGUCGGUGUCUCCGGGCCUCGCCGACCUUUCCCGCCUCUACCAGACCGAGUUCGUGCGCAGCGCGCGCGCGGUCGGCGUGCUGUGGGCCGUGUGCACGCUCUGCUUCGCCAUCAUCCAGGUGGUCAUCCUGGUCCAGCCGUCCUGGGUCGGAACCACGGCCUCCCGGACGCAGCGGGCCGGGCCGCCGCUGCCCAGCGGAACCAUGGGACUGUUUGAGGUCUGCCUGGAGUCGGACUGGCCGGCCCCGGACUGCCGCGGCGGUCUGUCCAGCCUGUCUCCGCUGCCGUCCUUCCAGUCGGUGGCCGUGUUGGUGGGCGUGUCUCUGUGGGCGGUGUGGACCAGCGUCCUGUGUCUCUGUCUCUUCCGAUUCUGCAGCGCUGCCACCGUCUACAAGAUCUGCGCCUGGCUGCAGCUGACAGCAGGCUUCUGUCUCGCCCUGGCGUGUCUCCUGUUUCCCGACUCGUGGGAGAGUCCAGAGAUGAGAGUUCUGUGCGGAGACUCGACCAGCAGCCUGGUUACCAUGGCGAUGUUCACUGCUGGUGUCAGGCUCCUGGUUUAAGCUCCGCCCCCUUCCCCAGGUGGGCAGCUUCUCUCCAGGUAACUGCUCCGUCCACUGGGCCUACAUCCUGGCGCUGCUGGGCAUCUUGGACUACGCCAUCCUGGCCACGCUGGCCUUCGUCCUGGCCAACCGGCAGGACGCCCUGCUGCCGCCCGACGCCCCGGACGUGACCGCAGGCCUGCUGAUGUCCGCCUGAGGAGGUGAGUCCUCUCUUCUUCUGCUGCCUCGGCUCUUCUUCUUCUCAUGUCUCUCCUCUUCCUCAGAGAUCUGCCCACACCGCCAUGUUUCAUCAUCUUCAUCAACAGAGGAGCGUUCUCCAGACGUGGGAUUGUUUUAGUGGAACUGUUGAAGUUCCUGCAUGUGGUGAACAGACAUGAGCCAGGUUCCCUAAAGGUUCCCUGGACGUUCCCUCGUUGUUCCCUACAGAUCCACAGUGGGUGGAACUGCAGAGUUAGUUGGUGAAAACUGUUUAACUUCACGCUAAAUAUUUAGCUUAUUUACUAAAUGCAUGAUUCAAAGUAAAUAAUUAUCUUAAAUGAAAUAUUUAGCUUACCAUUUAGUUUGGAGCUAGUUAGCUUGCUAAGCUAAAGCUUCAGCUUUCAAACUAAAUAUUUAACUUGCAAAAGAUGAAGUUCCCUUCCUUGGAGCAGCUGACAGUCCAACAGAAACCCGCUCCCAGGUCCAGUGAGGCGGACCCGGUCAGAACCACCUGGACUUUUUUUGUCCAGGUGGUUCAGAACUUUUUGCCCGUCUCUGUUUUGCUCUUUUCUCCGUUGCUCAUUAACAUUUAGAACCUGAUGUGGAAAAAUUACAGUUAGGUUCCACCUGCUGGUUGUAUUGCUAUAUGUUUAUUCUAAGUUCUGUAUUUUCCCACCAAGUUAAAGCUGUUUGGGUUUCAUGUACAGGGUUGGACCUUGUUUUCCCAGCUGCAGGGGAACCAGCCUGAUUCCAGGCUUUGGAUCCCUUUGUACAAAACUCAUGUGUUUCUCUGCCUGGCAGAGCUUUCUGUUUCAGACCUGCUUCAUUACUGACUGUCCUGUGACUCUCUGAGUUGUGCACAAUUCAUGAAUAAACCUGAUUGAGUGAUUUCACCUGA